rnacentral:rRNA from 1 species
AGUGAACGCUGGCGGUAGGCCUAACACAUGCAAGUCGAACGGCAGCACAGUAAGAGCUUGCUCUUACGGGUGGCGAGUGGCGGACGGGUGAGGAAUACAUCGGAAUCUACUUUUUCGUGGGGGAUAACGUAGGGAAACUUACGCUAAUACCGCAUACGACCUACGGGUGAAAGCAGGGGAUCUUCGGACCUUGCGCGAUUGAAUGAGCCGAUGUCGGAUUAGCUAGUGGGCGGGGUAAAGGCCCACCAAGGCGACGAUCCGUAGCUGGUCUGAGAGGAUGAUCAGCCACACUGGAACUGAGACACGGUCCAGACGCCUACGGGAGGCAGCAGUGGGGAAUAUUGGACAAUGGGCGCAAGCCUGAUCCAGCCAUACCGCGUGGGUGAAGAAGGCCUUCGGGUUGUAAAGCCCUUUUGUUGGGAAAGAAAAGCAGCAGGUUAAUACCCCGCUGUUCUGACGGUACCCAAAGAAUAAGCACCGGCUAACUUCGUG